rnacentral:rRNA from 1 species
UGAAUGGUGGAACGAGGGCUUAACUGUCUCCCUUUUCAAGUCAAUGAAAUUGAUCUGCCCGUGCAGAAGCGGACAUACAUAUACAAGACGAGAAGACCCUUUGGAGCUUAAGACACAAGAUCAACUAUGUCAAGACCCAGUAAACUAAAUAGCACCUGGUCCUAGUCUUCAGUUGGGGCGACCACGGGAGAAAACAAAGCUCCCACGCGGACCGGGCGUAUUACCCCAAAACCAAGAAAAACAACUCUAAGUGCAGAAUUUCUGACCAAAAGAUCCGGCCACCGCCGCCAGCGAACCAAGUUACCCUAGGGAUAACAGCGCAAUCCCCUUUCAGAGUCCAUAUCGACAAGGGGGUUACGACCUCGAUGUUGGAUCAGGACAUCCUAAUGGUGCAG